CCGAGGCAUCAAGGGCAGGGAACAACAGUGAUUCCCAGUACCAUUUCCCUCCAGCAAGAAUCUUCUUGUGUAGAGAGAAAUUCAGCAUCUAUGUUAAACUAAGCAGUGGUUAGAAGCCUGGAAACUACCCAUCAAAACAUAUGAUGGCCUAGUUCAUCCCACUCAAUCAGUAGAAUGCACCAGAAAUAAAUAUGGAGCACUGCAUCUACAUAUGUUAAGACAAAAGUUCACUGAAGAAGACAGAAGACUGGAACAAGUAGUGAAGCCAACCUUUGAUGUCUCCAUUAUCCAAGCUUCAGAUGUCACACCCAAGAAUCCACUGGUAUCACAGAAAUGUGUA